rnacentral:rRNA from 1 species
GCCCUUAGAGUUUGAUCCUGGCUCAAAACGAACGCUGGCGGCGUGGAUAAGACAUGCAAGUCAAACGAGAGAAUUGCUAGCUUGCUAAUAAUUCUCUAGUGGCGCACGGGUGAGUAACACGUGAGUAACCUGCCCCCGAGAGCGGGAUAGCCCUGGGAAACUGGGAUUAAUACCGCAUAGUAUCGAAAGAUUAAAGCAGCAAUGCGCUUGGGGAUGGGCUCGCGGCCUAUUAGUUAGUUGGUGAGGUAACGGCUCACCAAGGCGAUGACGGGUAGCCGGUCUGAGAGGAUGUCCGGCCACACUGGAACUGAGACACGGUCCAGACACCUACGGGUGGCAGCAGUCGAGAAUCAUUCACAAUGGGGGAAACCCUGAUGGUGCGACGCCGCGUGGGGGAAUGAACGUCCUCGGAUUGUAAACCCCUGUCAUGUGGGAGCAAAUUAAAAAGAUAGUACCACAAGAGGAAGAGACGGCUAACUCUGUGCCAGCAGCCGCGGUAAUACAGAGGUCUCAAGCGUUGUUCGGAAUCACUGGGCGUAAAGCGUGCGUAUGCUGUUUCGUAAGUCGUGUGUGAAAGGCGCGGGCUCACCCCGCGGACGGCACAUGAUACUGCG